rnacentral:rRNA from 1 species
CCUACGGGAGGCAGCAGUGAGGAAUAUUGGUCAAUGGACGAGAGUCUGAACCAGCCAAGUAGCGUGAAGGAUGACUGCCCUAUGGGUUGUAAACUUCUUUUAUAUGGGAAUAAAACGUUCCACGUGUGGGAUUUUGUAUGUACCAUAUGAAUAAGGAUAGGCUAACUCCGUGCCAGCAGCCGCGGUAAUACGGAGGAUCCGAGCGUUAUCCGGAUUUAUUGGGUUUAAAGGGAGCGUAGGUGGAUUGUUAAGUCAGUUGUGAAAGUUUGCGGCUCAACCGGAAAAUUGCAGUUGAAACUGGCAGUCUUGAGUACAGUAGAGGUGGGCGGAAUUCGUGGUGUAGCGGUGAAAUGCUUAGAUAUCACGAAGAACUCCGAUUGCGAAGGCAGUUCACUGGACUGCAACUGACACUGAGGCUCGAAAGUGUGGGUAUCAAACAGGAUUAGAUACCCGAGUAGUC